UGGUCGGCCCGACCGUGACAUAGGCGAUGCGCAGCAAAAGCAUAUGAGCAGAAACCCUAGCCGUGGGCGAGGGUGGAGGCCGCGAGUGGUGAUACUGGUCGGCGGGGUGGAAGGCGCGCAGUGAGGAGGGGAAACAGUUGUUCUGCGCACCACCGGGAGUCGCCGGAAUCCUCAGGCGUGGGCGGCGGCGGCGGCGGCGGCGGCCAGGGGUCGUGGGGCAGAGAGAGGGGGGUCGCAAGAGAGAGGGUUGUGGGGGAUUCUGUUCGGUGGGUUUCCUUGUUUUUUUUCAUUUCUUUUCUUCAGAUUGAAAUGGGCUGCGCGCGGCGGGGCACCAAAAUUUUGUGAAAUUGGCGCAAAUCUGACCCGAAAUUGGCGCGUUGGUCUCUGAUUGGUCCAUCUCGAUGUGCCACGGAUCCAUCUCCCUUUGAGUCAAUCUCG
rnacentral:lncRNA from 1 species